rnacentral:rRNA from 1 species
UACGGAGGGUGCAAGCGUUAAUCGGAAUUACUGGGCGUAAAGCGCGCGUAGGCGGUUAAGUCAGUCAGAUGUGAAAGCCCCGGGCUCAACCUGGGAACUGCAUUUGAUACUGCUUAACUAGAGUGUGGUAGAGGAGAGUGGAAUUUCAGGUGUAGCGGUGAAAUGCGUAGAGAUCUGAAGGAACAUCAGUGGCGAAGGCGACUCUCUGGACCAACACUGACGCUGAGGUGCGAAAGCGUGGGUAGCAAACGGG